rfam:Tupaia chinensis contig220361, whole genome shotgun sequence.
UAGGGGAGUCGGGACUCGGAGCCCCUCCCCGAGUCUUGGGUAACUGUGUCAGUGGAGGGGAA